GGGGGUGGAUUAUGCUGUAUCCCUCACUGCUCCGUGUGCGUCCCUCCCAAAGCUGUGCGCUCGGUGGAAGAGGACAAGCAUCCCAGGUAGAAGGAGUGUACCAUUCUUCGGUCAAGGGUAUACGAUAGCUGUGCUCCCCUGCUGAAACCUCUAAACUUUUUGCUAAGCAUCUUCCAAGAACACCAUUUAAUGCAUAGUUCAGACAACACAAAAUUCAGCACCUUACUUGGAUGGGUCUGGAGUCU